rnacentral:rRNA from 1 species
UUACUGGGCUUAAAGAGUUCGUAGGUGGUUAAAAAAGUUGGUUGUGAAAUCCCGAAGCUUAACUUCGGAACUGCAAUCAAAACUUUUUAGCUAGAGUAUGAUAGAGGAAAGCAGAAUUUCUAGUGUAGAGGUGAAAUUCGUAGAUAUUAGAAAGAAUACCAAUUGCGAAGGCAGCUUUCUGGAUCAUUACUGACGCUGAGGAACGAAAGCAUGGGUAGCGAAGAGGAUUAGAUACCCUCGUAGUCCAUGCUGUAAACGAUGUGUGUUAGACGUUGGAAAUUUAUUUUCAGUGUCGCAGCGAAAGCAAUAAACACACCGCCUGGGGAGUACGACCGCAAGGUUAAAACUCAAAUGAAUUGACGGGGACCCGCACAAGUAGUGGAGCAUGUGGUUUAAUUCGAAGAUACGCGCAGAACCUUACCAACACUUGACAUGUUCGUCGCGGCUCUAAGAGAUUAGAGCUUUCGGUUCGGCCGGACGAAACACAGGUGCUGCAUGGCUGUCGUCAGCUCGUGUCGUGAGAUGUUGGGUUAAGUCCCGCAACGAGCGCAACCCUCACUUUUAGUUGCCAUCAUUAAGUUGGGCACUCUGAAAGAACUGCCAGUGAUAAGCUGGAGGAAGGUGGGGAUGACGUCAAGUCCUCAUGGCCCUUACGUGUUGGGCUACACACGUGCUACAAUGGCAUUUACAAUAGGAAGCAAGAUGGCGACGUCAAGCAAAUCCUAAAAAGAUGCCUCAGUUCGGAUUGUACUCUGCAACUCGAGUACAUGAAGCUGGAAUUACUAGUAAUCGCGGAUCAGCGCGCCGCGGUGAAUACGUUCCCGGGUCUUGUACACACCGCCCGUCACACCAUGGGAGUUGGUUCUACCUUAAAGCAAGGUUUAAAACCCUUGACCACGGUAUAGUCAGCGACUGGGGUGAAGUCGUA